rnacentral:rRNA from 1 species
GAUUUCCUCAGGAACAGAAUAUGACCCUUCUUAGGUAUGUCUACUGAAACCUUAGUGAGCCCUUCAGAGUAGGGUUUAACCGUGCGACUAUAAAUAAUAUCGGUUUUCCAGUUAAAAAUCUUAAUUAUCUUUAACCGGAUCGCUGGUCAGUAUUUACUGGCAACACCCUUAGUCUGCAGGAAUAUUCUUCAGAACAAUCUGCAGCCACUCGUCACGGUUAAAAGCUUCACCGGCAGUGGCUCACAGGCUAAAUAGUGGUGGAUGUCAUCCCCGGGGAUGAUAUUUCAGAUAUAGUCGCGUCCGUGGAAUGUUAUUUUACAGACUGUGUUCCGUAGGUGAACCUGCGGAAGGAUCAUUA